rnacentral:piRNA from 8 species
UCUGGGUCGGGGUUUCGUACGUAG